UACGGAGGGUCCAAGCGUUAUCCGGAAUCAUUGGGUUUAAAGGGUCCGUAGGCGGUUUUGUAAGUCAGUGGUGAAAGCCCAUCGCUCAACGGUGGAACGGCCAUUGAUACUGCAAGACUUGAAUUACUAGGAAGUAACUAGAAUAUGUAGUGUAGCGGUGAAAUGCUUAGAUAUUACAUGGAAUACCAAUUGCGAAGGCAGGUUACGACUAGUGGAUUGACGCUGAUGGACGAAAGCGUGGGGAGCGAACAGG
rnacentral:rRNA from 1 species